CCUACGGGUGGCAGCAGUGGGGAAUAUUGCACAAUGGGCGCAAGCCUGAUGCAGCGACGCCGCGUGCGGGAUGGAGGCCUUCGGGUUGUAAACCGCUUUUGUUCAAGGGCAAGGCACGGUCUUUGGCCGUGUUGAGUGGAUUGUUCGAAUAAGCACCGGCUAACUACGUGCCAGCAGCCGCGGUAAUACGUAGGGUGCAAGCGUUAUCCGGAUUUAUUGGGCGUAAAGGGCUCGUAGGCGGUUCGUCGAGUCCGGGGGGAAAGUUCAUGGCUUAACGGUGGAUGCGCACGGGGUACGGGCGGGCUGGAGUGCGGUAGAGGAGACUGGAAUUCCAGGUGUAGCGGUGGAAUGUGUAGAUAUCGGGAAGAACACCAAGGGCGAAGGCAGGUCUCUGGGCCGUUACUGACGCUGAGGAGCGAAAGCGUGGGGAGCGAACAGGAUUAGAUACCCCUGUAGUC
rnacentral:rRNA from 1 species